rnacentral:RNase_P_RNA from 1 species
UCCACUCCCUGGGCGAUCGCGGGGUUUUCGUUUCGGCGAAGGCUUCGAGGAAAGUCCGGACACCAAAGGGCAGCGUGCCUUGUGAAAACGAGGGACGGUUCGGUGCAAGCCGGACCGGACGGAAAGUGCAGCAGAAAAUAAACCGCCGAUGGUCCGCAAGGACACAGGUAAGGUUGAAAUGGUGGGGUAAGAGCCCACCGCUCCGAAGGUAACUGAGGAGGCAUGGUAAACCCCGCGUGGUGCAAGACAGAACAGGGGAAGGGUCGCCCGCCCGACCAGGAUCCCCGGGUAAUAGUCGCAUCCCGUUCGCGGGAUCUCGCUUCGUUCGCGAAGCGGGAAGAGAAAUGGUCGUCGCCCCGCUUUGCGGGGAACAGAAUCCGGCUUAUAGGGGAGUGGACUGU